rnacentral:rRNA from 2 species
GACAGAGGUGGCAAGCGUUGUUCGGAAUUACUGGGCGUAAAGAGUCUGUAGGUGGUUUGUCAAGUCUUUGGUGAAAGGCCGUAGCUUAACUAUGGGAAUGCCAAAGAGACUGGCAGGCUGGAGGCUGGGAGAGGGAAGCGGAAUUUCUGGUGUAGCGGUGAAAUGCGUAGAUAUCAGAAGGAAGGCCGGUGGCGAAGGCGGCUUCCUGGAACAGUCCUGACACUGAGAGACGAAAGCGUGGGGAGCAAACAGG